AUGUGGUUUGGGGGGCUCCUGGGGGGCUCAGUCAGUUGGGCCUCGACUUUGGCUCAGGUCGUGAUCUCACGGUGCGUGGGUUCGAGCCCCGCGUCGGGCUCUGUGCUGACAGCUCGCAGCCUGGAGCCUGCUUCGGAUUCUGGGUCUCCCUCUCUCUCUGCCCCUUCCCUGCUCUCUCUCUCUCUCUCUGAGCCGUCACCACCUCUUCAUCCUACGGCUCCCGGGCCUUGUUCAUCACUGGCGCUGCACCCCCCACCAGGACCCCCUGGUCGAGUGUGCCCGUGCAUGUGUGCGUGUGUGUGCACCCCCUGGCGGCAGCAGGCCUGGGUGUGGGGAGGCCUCUGCCACCCGCCUCUGGUGCCCAUGUGGUUUUCAGGGCCCCCUGGGGAGGAACCUGGCCCCUUGGGCCAGAAGCAGGACAGGAGGGAGGCAUCUCACCCCCUGGGCGGGCGCAGCUCUCCGGCUGUCAUCUUGCGGAGGACACGACAUCCCGGGACGGGACCGGGGAGGCCUGCAGCCCGAGGGACAGCUUUGCCGGCGAGAAAAGGGGUCACGCGGAGGCCCGGGGCCUCCUCCGGCAGCUUUUCAGGCAACAACGAGGGAGCGGGGAGUUCACGGAACAGCCGGGAUGGGAGGGCCGGAGGGGCCGGAGGGACAAACGGGCAGUCCCAGGGUAGGGUCAGCGGACCAGCUGUGUGUAGAGUGUCCCUGGGCAUCGGGGGUGCCGGGGUGAAUGUGUCACGGCCCCGGAGCUGUCCACGGCGUGCUCCCCGGAGCCUGCGAGGACGGGGCCUCGCGUGGCAAAGCGCAGCCGUGAUGAAGGACCCGUCUCACCCGCGGUCACGGGGCACGUGGGGGCCUCGCCGCGUCCGUUUCCGUGGAGCCGACCACGGCCGUCCAAUCCUCCCCUUGUUUGCGGGGCUGGGGUCUGUCCCUUGGCAGAGGACGUCUGUCUGGUCCCUGACUCUUGCCCCCCCGGAACUGCAGCCCCAGAGCAGAGACCAGGUCACCAGCCUCGCUCUUUAUCAGCCCUGCUCUGAGCCGCCAGCCUCUGCGGGCUCGGGUCCACGUGGGGCAGGGAGUUAG
rnacentral:lncRNA from 1 species